GCUUGGCAAUGUCAGCCUGGUGCUUCCGAAUGUGUGCAACAAGGUUGUCCUUGCGCGAAAACUUGCUAGGGCACAGGUGGCAGGGGAAGGUCUCUACUCUGCUGUGCAAAGUCAUGACGUGACGCACAAGGACCUUCUCACUCGAGAAUUUCUUUUCACACAGGAAGCAGUCAAAGGAUCCCGUGCUCGUGUGCCUCUGAAGGUGGCACAGCAGGCGAUCAUGGUGCAAAAACUUGGACGGACAGAUCUGGCACUGGUAGACUGCCCCCGGAUCAACGACACGGAAUUCGUGCAUGGCACGCCGGUGCUCCGCAAGCACAGCUUCAUCAUAACCCAUGAAGCCACAAUCGUUGCACAUCAAGGUAUCGGAGCCGUCACCUUCCAAGGACCCACAACUGUCUACGGCUUGGCUUUCGGCAGCGCUUGUGGCAGCCCAUGCUUCGAAGCUGUUGCUGUGGGACUCUGUUGAGGCAUGCGGGGAGAGAGGAAAGGAACACUGUACAUGCGUUGCGCUAGGAAAGAGUGAUAAACGCAAAGACAGACCACUAGAGAGCUUGAAUGGAGAGCCAAGUAUGUACUGACUCCAGGGUUCUCCUCACAAGUGGGUGGUGGGGAAAUGUAGCCCACUGCUCCAUUUUGCCAGUAACCCCCUUUGCAGGGAAACUCUGCAAUUAUAAUGGUCAAUUUGGUAAAACGAGCUUAUUUCCUUUUGUUUAUGGCAUUU
rnacentral:misc_RNA from 1 species